GAUGAACGCUAGCGACAGGCUUAACACAUGCAAGUCGAGGGGCAACAUGAUUUUAGCUUGCUAAAAUUGAUGGCGACCGGCGCACGGGUGAGUAACGCGUAUGUAACUUGCCUACCAGAGGGGGAUAGCCCGGCGAAAGUCGGAUUAAUACCGCAUAAGCGCACGGUAUCGCAUGAUACAGUGUGAAAAACUCCGGUGGUAUGAGAUGGACCCGCGUCUGAUUAGCUAGUUGGUAAGGUAACGGCUUACCAAGGCGACGAUCGGUAGCCGGACUGAGAGGUUGAACGGCCACAUUGGGACUGAGACACGGCCCAGACUCCUACGGGAGCAGCAGUGGGGAAUAUUGCACAAUGGGGGAAACCCUGAUGCAGCAACGCCGCGUGAAGGAGACGGUCUUACGGGUUGUAAACUUCUUUUAAGCAGGACGAAUCUGACGGCACCCGCAG
rnacentral:rRNA from 1 species